rnacentral:lncRNA from 1 species
UGGGAUAUUCUCUUACGUACAGAAUUAACGGGCUUAACGAUGCGCUUCGCGUCUCUGUUUGUUCGUCCCAGUCUCUGUUCGGGUCUCUCCUUCAUUUCAUGGCAUGGCUCUAUCUUAGAGCUUUAUUCAAUGAGAUUUUUUUUAGGAUGGGUGUAGCUUUCUUUCAUGUUGGAAUUUCUCCCGCUGUAAUGUAAUAUAUAGGAGUUCUC